rnacentral:rRNA from 1 species
UACCAGCUCUUCGAGUGGUGUGGAUGUUUAUUGGGCCUAAAGCAUCCGUAGCUGGCUGGGCAAGUCCCCUGUUAAAUCCACCGAUUUAAUCGUUGGAGUGCGGGGGAUACUGUUCGGCUAGGGGACGGGAGAGGCAGACGGUAUUUUCGGGGUAGGGGUGAAAUCCUAUAAUCCCGGGAAGACCACCAGUGGCGAAGGCUGUCUGCUAGAACGCGCCCGACGGUGAGGGAUGAAAGCUGGGGGAGCGAACCGGAUUAGAUACCCGGGUAGUCCCAGCUGUAAACGAUGCAGGCUAGGUGUUUGGGCGGCCACGUGCCGCUCUAGUGCCGCAGGGAAGCCGUUAAGCCUGCCGCCUGGGGAGUACGGCCGCAAGGCUGAAACUUAAGGAAUUGGCAGGGGAGCACCACAAGGGGUGAAGCUUGCGGUUU